AAACUUCUCAUAGCACAGAAACGCCAGAAGCCAGAUGAAGACACCUGUCCCUAUCUGCAUGUGGAGCCAUAAGCAGUCAUUCCUAACUUGGCAGCGCUCCUUCCAAGUGACAUUUCCAACACCACCUAGAGGACCAGGAAAUUCAGUCAGGCUGGCGACGCCAGAGGUCAGCAAAGCCGGAACGGGAUACGUCUCCAAUCUUCCAUGGGAGCCACGUAGUUGUCUCUGGGCUUGGAUGGGCUUGACAGCUCCAUCCACAGUACUUGAAGAAACAGCUCUCACUCUUUCAGCCACCCUGGGAUUGGUAACCAAGGAAGGAACAGAAGAAAAAGGUCUUAUUGUUCCUCUUUUGUCCAGGCUCCCCUUCAUGGAGUGGAUAACGGUAUUCCUUUGGCUGGAUUCUACUUCCAUAGAAGCUGGGACUUUGAAGGGGUAACACAAGGGGUAACCACCCCGUCACUGUUGUUAUUGGCCACUCUAUGUUUUCUAGCAUAGUCCUAGGACUGACUUCCCCAGGAGCGUACUUCUCCAUGUGACCCCUUGAACGACCGCAUUAGCAGGCGGCCACGCCUUAUUUCUUAGGUUAAUCUUUAUGCAAGACACAGUUUGGAAAGUCCCAUCAUUUUUC
rnacentral:lncRNA from 1 species